AGCCCAUGGUGUGAUUCUUUGCAGGGUCAGGAGUUUGACUUUGGUAAUCCUUAUGUAAUGCUUUCAACUCAGGAUAUUCUAUGAAUUUUGGAAAGGUAGAAGUACCGUGGACGGAACAAAACAUAAAUAAGUGGAAAGUCGGGAAAACCUGUGCCCCAGUGAAGACUUGAAGCCCAGGGUGAUGGAGUGUUGGAUCAUUCUGAGCCCUGGUCUCAAGUGAUGUUUCUGAGGCAUUGUUUCAUGUUUGAUUUGGUAAGGAGGAAUGGUGUGGGAUUUGGAGAGUCAGUGGAGAAAGUAGGCUCGGCUGGUGUUUGGGAGAAUUAAGAGUUACACAGGUGUCAGGACUUGUUGCAACUUGCCUAAUCUGUUUUUGUUGCGGAAAGGAAUGAGAAACGCCUGAGAUCAGUAUCAGAAAAGGGAUGACGUCCACAAUCCAGGAACAAUAUGCUUGUGCCUCAGCAGCAUGUAGGCAUAACGUGUCAGACAAGGUUCACUCGAUCAGUAUUCAGUCAAGACAGAAGUUAU
rnacentral:lncRNA from 1 species